UACAGAGGUCUCAAGCGUUGUUCGGAUUCAUUGGGCGUAAAGGGUGUGUAGGUGGCGCCGUAAGUCAGGUGUGAAAUCUCGGGGCUUAACUCCGAAACUGCAUUUGAUACUGCGGUGCUUGAGGACUGGAGAGGAGACUGGAAUUUAUGGUGUAGCAGUGAAAUGCGUAGAUAUCAUAAGGAAGACCAGUGGCGAAGGCGGGUCUCUGGACAGUUCCUGACACUGAGACACGAAGGCCAGGGGAGCAAACGGGAUUAGA
rnacentral:rRNA from 1 species